CCCAGCACAAUCCAAAUAUUUGGGUAGCGUGAUAUUCACUUGCAGGUGAAGAAGAUGAGCUUAGGUGUUUUUGUAUUUUUCAACUGCGUUCGUUUAUUUUGAAAUGAAUCCUGGCGACCGUGACGUCAUCUGACUGCGCGGUGUGACUGUCGCGAACUUGACGCAGCAACAUCAACUCCAAACGGCGUCAGUGACAGUUGGGCUUUUCGUUGCUCAGGUAAGUGGUCGUCAAGCUGUCGACGGUUUCGACACUAUUUAUCUUACUUCCAUAUGUUUAUUACUUUUAUGCGGGUGUAGUGUAGCCGGCCUGGCUGGGGCGGACGAGGCGUUUCUGUCACAUGAGGAGGAGGAGGAGGAGGAGAAAGGGGGCUUAAAAAACAGAAAUAGGCUUUUUUGACAGCUAGCUUCUAGCUAGCCUGGUCAGGUAAGGUCGAGUGAUACGGCGGUGUUUCCCGAGGCGUCGUGCCGCUGUCACGGGAUGAGCGAGGCUGUUUGCGGCUUAUUUGUAGCGCACACAGUGGAAAUAGACAUUAUUAAUAGUGUGUGUUUUACCGUGUAGUCAAACCACAACCGCCUCAGUCCGUCUGAGCCAGCAGGGCAGCUCAGGGUGCAUAAGGAGUAACGUUACUGGAGCGCCGCUGGGAAAACCUCCCAGGAAAGCUGAAAGAAAGUGGAAACCCAGGCCCAGCUGCUUCGAGUCCUCUCCGGGACACACAGCCCUCUGACAUGGAAUAAUUUUUGCCUCCAUCCAGCCGUCCGUGGAAAGGGGAUCUCUCUUUGAAUUGCCUUUCCCAAGGUUUCUUCCCAUCUUCCAUGGGGAGUUUUUUCUCGUCUUCAUAGAGAACUUGGGCUGGAUCAAGACCUCCUCAAAAAUCAAGCUUCAUUAUAAGAAAUAACACAUCAUUAUAGAUUAUUUCCAGAUUCCAUUUAGAGUUACAUCCUGGUUAAUAAGUUAUUUACACAAAACCAAGUUGAGCUGCACAUUUUAGACGACAUUUUACGUUUAUUAUAUAACGUAUUAAAGAGCUACUUUACACAUUGAGAUUAAUAAUUCAAAAUAUGACCAAAAAAUAAGUUCUCUUGUAUUAUUAGAUGCUUUUUUCGCCCCUAGUGGAAAUUCACAAGAUGUAAAAUAAAUAUAAAUUAAAACCAGCCUCGUCUUUACCAGGUGCAAAAUUAAAGUUAUUUACAUGUUAAUGCAUUAAAAAGUGUAAUCCUGUUAUAUAAAAUACACUUUUACAAGAUAGUUAAAUUAGAAAAUGCAUGAUUGCAAGAUUAAAAGCCCAAUGUACUGAUUUAGAUAAACCUUUUAAGUUGCAAACAUUUUUUAUGUUUAUAUUGUUUUGACAUAAUAAUGUUUCACUAACUUAAUAUUGUGAAUUAUUUAAAAUCUGAUUUUUUUGCUUUAGUCGAUUUAAAACAAUUCAAAUUGAACAGUGUAGCCAUCCCAUAAUAGACCACUUUAGAAGACAUUGAAAGUAUUUGAGUUUACAAGAAGUCUUAGAAUGUUGAAUAUAAUCACUUUUAUUGCACUUUGAGUUUGUAGAAAUCUGUGAAUGUAGUAGAAAGAUGAACAAUGCACAGAUAAAUACAAACAAAACAUCAACAUUUUUGUUUAAGUGAUUAAAUCUCCAAAAGAUCUUUUAAAUUCUCCCAAGUAAAAGCUUUUUACUUCUCCUCACCACCUGCACAGGACGCUGCUGCUCAUUCACUGGAGAUUUAGAAACAUGUAAUUUUUUAUUUUUUAAAAAUGCAUAAAAGUUGUGUUGGUGCAUGAACUGAGGCUGCUGACUGACCUUAUAUUGCACAAUGUUCAAUGUCUUUAAAUAUUUUCACAGUAAGGAUUCAUCUGUCGAUCUAUCUAUACCUGAAACCUCAUCCUCUGUAUAUAGUCUUCUACAUGUUUGUUUUUUUUUUUUUUUUAAGAAUAAAAUCAUCUGUAUAUAAUGCUAUGGGCAAUUUUUGCACCGUUUUUUUCUUAUUUAUUCUUGCACUGCCUUUAUACUCUUAUACUUUCUCCUUUCCUAAGGAAGAAGUUUCGGUUAUUUCCCCAGUUAUGUUUGAAAUGUAACAUUACUUCUUCAGCUCAGUGCAUCAGUGAUCAUAUUGGUUUAGUGGUUGGAAGUCAAUAAAACAUUAGCGUUAGUCAAAUUGAAUGCGUCAGUGGAUGGAAGUGGUGGUUGCCUUGUGCUGCUCUUCACUUCACUGCAGCUCCAUGGCUCCAUCUGCUGGACGGACAGAAGUGCAGCAGCUGAUGGCAGCUUCUUUGACCUCACGCUGCUGUCAGACCCACAGAUUAGGGUUUAUUUCAGAUAUAUAUAAUAGAAAAUAGUAAUUAAAAAAUAAGCUGAUGUUGUAUUUUUGCAGCAGUGGGUUUUACAGGGUUAAGAGCAACCAGUCAAAGGUUAUUACUGAGG
ensembl:lncRNA